rnacentral:tRNA from 2 species
GCCGGGGUAGCUCAGCCUGGCCUAGAGUGCCAGUCUCUCCAUCUGGAGGUCGUGGGUUCGAAACCCACCCCCGGCA